rnacentral:rRNA from 1 species
ACCGCCUGGGGAGUACGGCCGCAAGGUUAAAACUCAAAUGAAUUGACGGGGGCCCGCACAAGCGGUGGAGCAUGUGGUUUAAUUCGAUGCAACGCGAAGAACCUUACCUGGUCUUGACAUCCACGGAAGUUUUCAGAGAUGAGAAUAUGCCUUCGGGAACCGUGAGACAGGUGCUGCAUGGCUGUCGUCAGCUCGUGUUGUGAAAUGUUGGGUUAAGUCCCGCAACGAGCGCAACCCUUAUCCUUUGUUGCCAGCGGUCCGGCCGGGAACUCAAAGGAGACUGCCAGUGAUAA